UAAUUAUAUUUAGCCUUAGUUAUGGCCGCACUUGAACCUUAUGGUGAUUUUAUCCUUGAACUAUUUGACACUGGAAAGACGCACAACGAGAUCAGUACCGCUCUAAAGCAAUCUGGUGCCCCGAAGUGCUGCGUUAUGACGGUGAGGAGGUUCUGUGUGGAGCACAACCUUCGAAGAAGAAAAGUUUCCGACACUGAUUUGGAAAUGGCAGUGGUUUCUUCCAUCAACAAGAAUAUAUGGGCCAUAAACUGCACAUGGAUCAAAAUGAGAAGCUCGGCAUGUUCGGUGUCACACAUGUGGCAGUUGAUGGCAGCAGCGGCAGAAUUGUUGCAAGUGCCACCAUGCCUUGGAAAAACAAUCUGAUUAUUUAGGAGGUAUACAGAUGUGCAGUGGUUGCCAAUGGGAUGUGGGACCAAGUCAGAGUUGACCAUGGGAAGGAGUUCUACCUGUGCCUGUACAUCCAGGGAAUCCUUUCCAGGCAUAACCUCAGCAAGCAACCUUACCUGCAGACUACAUCUUCAAGGAAUCUUAAGGGGGAGCGGAUUUGGCCUGAAGUCAAUAACCGGGUAAACUACCCAAUGAAGCAGGCCCUGGUGCACCUGACUGACCCAAGAGGCCAUAGACAUGCAGGACAACACGGUGAAGUUCUGUGUGUCUAACCUUACGUGCCAACUCAGCCAGAUUGGGUUAGACAGGGUUGUGCAGUCAUGGAAUGCACAUAGGAUUCAAGGUAGAGGAAUACCUAAUGAACUAGCUGCAGCAGGAUGCCCAGCACAGAUAUCGGAGGACCUGCCACCCAGUGCUUCUGUUGCUGCUGACAGAUAUGAGCAGGAGUUUGGAAGCUCUCUCAGCAGGGAGGCAGCCUUUGGUGUGGACCCCUUUCACACUGAGGAAGACAGGAGACGGGCAGAAAGGGACUUUGCGAUGGCCUACCCUGAUCCCUCUGUCAUUUUUGACAAUGUGGUCAACAAUGACCAUAGUGCACUUCAUGAAGCCCUUUUCUGCCUGCUGAAUGCCACGGAGAGGAAUGUGUGAAAUGUUUUGAUGGAUGUGUGACUGCCUGUGUAUACUGUUAAGUGUCACGUGUGAUC
ensembl:lncRNA